rnacentral:rRNA from 1 species
GUAGGGAAUAUUGCACAAUGGAGGAAACUCUGAUGCAGCGACGCCGCGUGAGUGAUGAAGGCCUUCGGGUCGUAAAACUCUGUGAUAAGGGAAGAUGAUGACGGUACCUUAUCAGAAAAGACCGGCUAACUUCGUGCCAGCAGCCGCGGUAAUACGAGGGGUCUAAGCGUUGUUCGGAAUCACUGGGCGUAAAGCGGGUGUAGGUGGCUAUGCAAGUUGGAUGUGAAAGCCCCGGGCUCAACCCGGGAAGUGCAUCCAAAACUACGUAGCUUGAGUGCGGGAGAGAAAGGCAGAAUUCCUGGUGUAGUGGUGAAAUACGUAGAUAUCAGGAGGAACUCCGGUGGCGAAGGCGGCCUUUUGGCCCAGCACUGACACUCAGACCCGAAAGCGUGGGUAGCAAACAGGAUUAGAUACCCGAGUAGUCC